rnacentral:lncRNA from 1 species
GUAUUAUUCAAUCUUAUUUUUAUCUUAUAUAAUAACUGUAAAAUUCAAUCACUCCAUAUCUUGUAGAAAAAAUGACCAUAUUCUCUGCUGAUUUUAUAAACUUCAGUCCUAUGGCUCUGCACUAUACAGCAAAAGUUUUCUUUGUAUUUUGGUAGUUGUUCAUGCAACAUUUAUUAUAACAAAAAGUCAACAUAUUUAUGGCCGAUGCUCGUCGUAUUCCCAAAUCAGUGAUGUUAAUUAAACAAAUCUGUGCUCAUGUUAAUUCAAAGCUGAAGUGCCAUCUGAAGAGAAAAUAAGCCAGCCAGAAUAUGAAGUAUGUGAUGA